rnacentral:rRNA from 1 species
CCAGCAGCCGCGGUAAUUCCAGCUCCAAUAGCGUAUAUUAAAGUUGUUGCAGUUAAAAAGCUCGUAGUUUGAUUUCUGGCAGUAGCAUCCGGUCCCGCACUCUGUGCGGGAACUUGGAUGUCUCUGGCCAUCUUUGGGGAUAUCAUGUUUGGCAUUAAGUUGUCGGGCAGGGGAUACCCAUCGUUUACUGUGAAAAAAUUAGAGUGUUUAAAGCAGGCUUAUGCCGUUGAAUAUAUUAGCAUGGAAUAAUAAGAUAGGACACUGGUACUAUUUUGUUGGUUUGCGCACCUGGGUAAUGAUUAAUAGAGACAGGCGGGGCUAUUCGUAUUGCAUUGUCAGAGGUGAAAUUCUUGGAUUUAUGCAAGACGAACUACUGAGAAAGCAUUUAGCAAGGAUGUUUUCAUUGAUCAAG